UUUGCUUUGAUAAAGGAUUAAUUCAAAUUUUGGAAUGAAAAGAAGAGAUUUUGAAGCCCUAAAACUGUACUGUGUGACAAAACUCCUGUUCUUGGGAUAUGGUGGCAGAAGUAAGGGAAAGUGUCAGAAAAAGUCCCGCAAGGUGAGAAAAACUGAAAAAGAGACCCCUUUCCUAUAGAGGCUCACGAAGGGGAAAUUGCAACUGUGCGACCCUGUCUGCUAGCUUUCUCUGUCACUUCAUCCCCCAUUCCUGUUGCUGUGUGCACUUUUAUCCAACCCUCUUAAUGUCCAUGGCUGCGCUACCAGCAAAAUCUAACCCCAUCUGCUUGGCUAAGCUUCUUGCGCUCACCUAUACCUGAGGAGUACGACAUCAGGCUUCAGGGCUUAUUGAAGUCAUUACUCACAUCAUUGCACUAAUCACAAACAGAAGUGAAAGUUGUAAAUUGUAUAUAAUUACAUUUCAUAGAGAAAAAAGUAGAUUUAAAAAUGGCAAUUAAUAUUCUUAAUAGCCAAAAGUUAUUGCUAAUUAAUAAGAAAAACAUAAGCACUCCAAUUGAAAAAAAAUGAGCAAAGGUCAUAAAGACAUAAAACUCGCCUGUGGAAACAUACGUAGAGGAAACACAGAAUUAGUGAGUGUGUGUAUGGAAAUAAAUGGAAGGAUAAUGCUUGCUACCCAGUGUGGGCUUUGGGGGUAGAUCUACCUGGACUGAGUUCUGGAUUCACUAUUUACUAGCUCCAUGACCUUCAGCAAAGUAACCUCUCUAAGCCUUUGUUUUUAUCUGUAAAAUAGGGAUACUUAUUUUCCCUGCCUUGAGGGGUUAUUGUGAGGAUAAAAGAAAAUAAUUCUGUAAAGGGCUUAGUAAAGUGCCUGGUGCAGAGAAAUUUUUCAGUGCAGAUUAGCAAUUGUCACUGCUAGUAGUAUAUUUGCAUUGAUAACAAUUAGUAAUUUAACAUCUCACUGAAAUCAAAGAAAUGCAAUUAAAACAACAAAUACAUAUUAUUUGUUACUUAUCAGAUUGGAAAACAGGUGAAAAGAUUGACAGUAACCACUGUUGGUUAGAUGUGGAGAGAUGGGUUCUCUUGUGCAAUUCUGGGAUGGUAGGACCUGAUGCCCCAUUUCUGCAGGGCAAUUUGGCAAUAUACAUUAACGUUGAACAUUCUGAUAGUUUUUGACCCAGUCAUUCUUCUCUCAGAAACUUAUUCCUGGGAGAUAACUGAACAAAUGCACAAUAAUGAAUAUAUAAGAAUGUUUAUCCUGGCAUUUUUUUUUAUAGAAACAAAAAUUCAGAAGCAACUUAAACAUCCUUCAGUGAGAUUGACUAAUAAGUCCUGCUUCAUUUUUAUGACAGAAUGCUACUACUAAUAGCAGUGUUCUAGAUUUUCAUCCACCAUCAUGGAUAAAGCUCUCCGUCAUGUGGAUGGAAUCACUGCGGUAGGAGGAUUCCUGAGGCAUUACCUGGAUAGUCUCAUCUGGCUGGACAUGCAGGAGAACUGGGAGACUGCCGAGACUGCCACGUGGGGUGACUUGAGGGAUCUUUGACACUCUCUGUCUUAAUCUGUUUUGUGUUGCUAUAACAGAAUACACAGACUAAGUAAUUUAUAAAGAAAGGAAAUUUACUUCUCACAGUUUUGGAGGCUGAGAAGUCCAAGACUGAGGGGCUGGCAUCUGACGAGGGCCUUCUUGCUGCUUCAUUCCACGGCAAAAUGGCAAAGAGAAGGUGAGAGAGAGCAAGAGGGUGAACUCGCAGGGUCUGGCUUUUUUAUAAUGGCAUGGAUCCAUUCAUGAGGGUGGAGCUGUCGUGAUGCAACUCCUCCCAUUAGGCCCGACCUCCCACCACCAUUGCAUUGUGGGUUAAGUUUCCAACUCAUGAUUUCUGGGGGACACAUUCAAACCAUAGCACCCUGUGCAACCUACCCUGAACAACGCUAUUAUCCAUCUCUUCUUUUCCUGGUUUGAACUUCCCACUAUAAAUAAAAAUUCCAAAAUGCCUUACAUAAGCCUUGUCCUAUGAUGUGCACCACAUUUAGCAAACACUGUUCCGUUUGAGCCGCACAACAACCCUUCAAGGCAGGCGAAGUGAGACUGAUUAUCCUCAUUUUACAGAUGAGAAGAAAGGCUCAAAGGGACGGUGGGACUUGACUGAGGACCCAGCACCUCCUGGACCUGAAUCAAGGCCCUCUGUCCCGCUGCUUUUGUUGUUGUUUACCCUGCAACUUCACAGCCCUUCAGAAGGCCCUGGACAUCAUGUGCAAGCUCCGUGGAUGGCCUGAGAUUCAUCCUUCCAAGUUGUUUUCUGACUGAGAGGCAACAUUUUAAAUUGUGAUCCCCCCUUACCCCACCACACACACUGAAACAAAAGUUUCAAGAAGUCAUUACCACACAAUGACUCAGAUAUGUUCUAGUCUAGUCUGUCUAUUCCAUUCCAUUCCAGUCUCUUUCCAAACGAAAAUAAAAGGAAGGAAAUGCUGCAUGCGACUUGGUAAGUUAAUUUCAGGACACCUUGGGACUGCUUCCUGCUGCAUGAGGCAUCAGCACACAGCAGGGGAUAUUUUGCAUUCCUGUGUGCACCGUGGGUUAGACAGGCUGCUUGGCCCUAAGUGGAGAAUGGAACUCCAGUAGAAAGGCUGAGAUGCACUGCAAGUAACCACUGCAGAAAGGAGAGGAUGCCCACAGGCAGGCUGAAGUGGACCCGUGUGGAAGGAACACUUCAAGACCACUGGCCAAGAGACUUCCUUCAUUUUUAUCCCUUCCUGUUUUUCGCCUGUGCUGAGGAUUCACCACCAGUGUGGGGAGCCUCUGACUGUAAAAGGAAAGCUGACUCUGGCUCCUUCGUGUUUUCUGUUAAGUUGGGGCCUAAGUUUUUCUGCCAGCCUUUGCGGAGGAAAUGCAGCUUCCCUGGCACACUGCCCGGUCAAGGGACGUUGAAUCCAUUGCAAUCAGCAGUUGAAGAUCCACACUACAGGCCAUGUUCUUAAAAUAAGUGGCUCCAGGACUUCCAAGAGGCAGAAGGGGCUUCAGCUGGCCAUGGGCAGGAUCCAAGUGGAGCUUCAUCCCUGCAGAGCAAUGCCUGGCUCUCAGCGGAGGCAGUCUGGAGCAGGGCUUCUACCCUUUUCAGCUCAUAGAUUACUUUGGAAUCUGAUGAACACUGGGAGCCUUCUCCUUAGAAGAACAUACAUAUGCACGAGAAUGAGACAAUUACAUAACAUUCCUUGGGUUUCACAGAUGCUGAAGCCAAUGACUUGCUUGAAGCCUGGAAGAGGGUGUUGACCUGGAGAAUCCUAAAGGCCAAAAUUUAGAGAAAAUGGUGCCAGUAAAUGAAUUCACAAGGAGAAAUGCUUCCUUGCCAACUCACUUCUCCAGAUUAUUGAGUGCAUCUAUCUGUUUGCUUUUGGCUUCACGCAAUUGGCCCUCUUCAGUUCCGUACUCUUUCCUAAAUACCUUGCAAGUUUUCCUCUUCUCUCAUGCCAUUUAUAAUAUGCUGACGCCUGAUUAGAGGAAGGAAGGACUCAGCUGCACUUGCACUGGGGGAAGGGCCACUUACAGGAAGCCUACCUGGGGCUGAGCUGGGUCUCACUGCCUCCUAGACCUAAGGGCCCCAGCUUUUCCCUCAUCUCUUGUUGCAGCCACCACUUGUUCUAGAUCUGCAUCCAUAUCUGUAAAAUGGGGGUGAUAAUACCUUCCCAUAAAGUCACUGUGAGGAUUAAAUGUCCGGCACAAUAUUUGAUGCAUAGUGGUGCUGAAUAAUAUUUAUUGUCAUUACUAUCAUUAUUAUUGGCUGCUACCUUCAUUUUGAAAUUCUAUCCAUGAGCUACAUUAAUUAACCUGCAUUCAGUGUCAGGAUGUAUUUCUUAAUUUAGAUUUUUAAAUUUUUAGAGCAUGUGGCUAACCAUGAAUGUUGCAUUUUCUCAGUACCUAUUUAUUCAUAUGAAACUAUAGGUCUGGGCUCAGAGUUCAUCAAUAUUUAUAGAGAAGGCUCUACCUGUUGAGCACUGUGCUAGGCAUCCCCAGAGAUGCUGGCCUACUUCAUGCCUUAGGCAGCCCCACACGUGAGCAUUACUAACCCAUUGCUGCUAUGAGAGCAUUCAGAAAGAAAGCAGUUUAAGUUGCUUGACUAAACUGGUAGAGUUGAAAUUAAACUCUGUCUCUUCAUGUUACUGGACUGCUUGGAUAUCUACUUUCAGAAAGACUACAGCUUGAUAUAAACAUUGUAGUUUUGCUCAUGGAAAACUUACAGUAAAUCUGGGCUGUUUCAACACAACUGUCAAACUGUUCACCUACAGCUGUAUUUUCUCUUGCAAUGGGUGAAUAAGGUACAAUGAUGGUUGUACAGACCAUUACUAUUAUUACCUGUUAAUUUACAUUUAAACAGAUUUAUAAUUUCUGGCCCUGAUUUCCAGUCCAGUAUACAGCAAAAAUCCAUAUUUUAAACUAAAAAUAAUGUGCUUUUCAUAAAAUCAUAAAGAAACCCACCUGGCUAUUGUCUGGGGACUUGCGAGAAGGAUCCUUUGUAGUUUUCUUCCAUGUCUUCUAAGGAAUAGUUUGGAACACAUAGUAAAUAGUCAAUUAAUACCAAAGGGCAUUUGCAAAACUAUCAACUCCCAGUUUAUAUAAAGGACCAGCCACCAGAAUUAUACAUGAAUUAAAAAGUUAGCACACCAUAGUCAGAGAAGGACAACUUGGGAAUAGUUGUGUAACAGCCGUGAGGGUAAGCGAAGGGUCUGUCUACCUGUGCCUUCCCAGAAUACUGCCUCUCUUCUGGUCUGCUUUGGGAACAGUCAACAGGAAAGAAAAAGUAGACAGAUAGAGUCAGUGCGCUGAAUAAAAGAAGAUUCUAGAUCACUACAAGAGGCUUGUCAUUUGAGGCAAAGUGUCUGAGAGAGGAAGGUUUUUAUGGCCUCAAUGGGGAGACUGGUCACUGAUAAAGCGUUCUGGAUCUUUUGUGGGCCGGAAGAUAAGUUGAGUUUUGGUUAAUGUUUAAUGAUGCAGAACAAAAGUCAUAAAUAGUCCAUGAGAAAUAAGAGCACAAAUGAUUGGGAUUGGACAGUUUGCUUAUUCAGCUGCAAAAUGUGCUGUGUUCUAUUCUUGUCAUCCCCCCAUGGUAUAACAAAAUGCAGUGUGACAAGGAAUAUAAAUGUCCCCUAAUGCAUGGGCAGCUUUUUCUGUUCUAAGAGAGUCAGCAUGAGUCACUCAGCAGGUGAAAAAUGUUUAAUUUAGAGAAAAUAGGAUAAAUAGCAAUAGCUUCC
rnacentral:lncRNA from 1 species